UACAUGGGGUGCAAACGUUGCUCGGAAUUAUUGGGCGUAAAGCGCGCGUAGGCGGUUACUCAAGUCGGAUGUGAAAGCCCUCGGCUUAACUGAGGAAGUGCACCCGAAACUGAGUAGCUAGAGUACUAAAGAGGGUCGGCGGAAUUCCCGGUGUAGAGGUGAAAUUCGUAGAUAUCGGGAGGAAACACCGGUGGCGAAGGCGGCGACCUGGGUCGAGACUGACGCUGAGGCGCGAAAGCCAGGGGAGCGAAACGGG
rnacentral:rRNA from 1 species